rnacentral:rRNA from 1 species
ACAGCAGUCGCCACGGGAAUACGUAGGGUGCAAGCGUUAAUCGGAAUUACUGGGCGUAAAGCGUGCGCAGGCGGUUAUAUAAGACAGAUGUGAAAUCCCCGGGCUCAACCUGGGAACUGCAUUUGUGACUGUAUAGCUAGAGUACGGCAGAGGGGGAUGGAAUUCCGCGUGUAGCAGUGAAAUGCGUAGAUAUGCGGAGGAACACCGAUGGCGAAGGCAAUCCCCUGGGCCUGUACUGACGCUCAUGCACGAAAGCGUGGGGAGCAAACAGGAUUAGAUACCCCGGUAGUCCCUGUCUCUUAUAC